rnacentral:rRNA from 1 species
UACGGGGGGGCAAGCGUUGUUCGGAAUUACUGGGCGUAAAGGGCGCGUAGGCGGCCCGCUAAGUCGAACGUGAAAUCCCCAGGCUCAACCUGGGAACUGCGUCCGAUACUGGCAGGCUUGAAUCCGGGAGAGGGAUGUGGAAUUCCAGGUGUAGCGGUGAAAUGCGUAGAUAUCUGGAGGAACACCGGUGGCGAAGGCGGCUUACUGGUCCGGUUCUGACGCUGAGGCGCGAAAGCGUGGGGAGCAAACAGG